rfam:Glycine soja cultivar W05 scaffold1660_205, whole genome shotgun sequence.
AUGUGCCUGGCUCCCUGUAUGCCAUUUGCAUAGUUCAUUGAGCAUCAAUGAUCUUUGUGAAUGGCGUAUGAGGAGCCAAGCAUAU